rnacentral:piRNA from 1 species
GUCACUUUAUUUAUGGGGUAC